UACGGAGGGGGCUAGCGUUGUUCGGAAUUACUGGGCGUAAAGCGCACGUAGGCGGCUUUGCAAGUCAGAGGUGAAAGCCCGGGGCUCAACCCCGGAAUUGCCUUUGAGACUGCAUCGCUAGAAUUGUGGAGAGGUAAGUGGAAUUCCGAGUGUAGAGGUGAAAUUCGUAGAUAUCAAGAGGAACACCGGUGGCGAAGGCGACUUACUGGUCCAUGACUGACGCUGAGGCUCGAAAGCGUGGGGAGCAAACAGG
rnacentral:rRNA from 1 species